CUCCGACAUGACGCAUGUCGUGUUGGGAAAGAUUCAUCGGUAUGGGAUGGGGUCGCGUCCUAUCAGCUUGAUGGCGGGGUAACGGCCCACCAUGGCUUCGACGGGUAGCCGGCCUGAGAGGGCGACCGGCCACAUUGGGACUGAGAUACGGCCCAGACUCCUACGGGAGGCAGCAGUGGGGAAUAUUGCACAAUGGGCGCAAGCCUGAUGCAGCGACGCCGCGUGCGGGAUGACGGCCUUCGGGUUGUAAACCGCUUUUGACUGGGAGCAAGCCCUUCGGGGUGAGUGUACCUUUCGAAUAAGCACCGGCUAACUACGUGCCAGCAGCCGCGGUAAUACGUAGGGUGCAAGCGUUAUCCGGAAUUAUUGGGCGUAAAGGGCUCGUAGGCGGUUCGUCGCGUCCGGUGUGAAAGUCCAUCGCUUAACGGUGGAUCCGCGCCGGGUACGGGCGGG
rnacentral:rRNA from 1 species